rnacentral:rRNA from 1 species
GACGAACGCUGGCGGCGUGCUUAACACAUGCAAGUCGAACGGAAAGGCCCUGCUUUUGUGGGGUGCUCGAGUGCCGAACGGGUGAGUAACACGUGAGUAACCUGCCCUUGUCAGUCGGAUAACUUCAGGAAACAGGGGCUAAUAUCGCAGAGGAGCUCCUGCUGCCUGGGGUGGGUUGGAAAGUUUCGGCGGUUGGGUAUCGACUCGCAGCUUAUCAGCCUGAUGGUGGAGUAGUGGCGUACGAAGGUUUUGACGGAUAGCCGGCCUGAGAGGGUGACCGGCCUCAUUGCGACUGAGGUACGCACCAGAAGGCUACGGGACGCAGUAGUGGGGAACGUUACACAGUAGGGGGGAGCCUGAUGCGGAAACCCCGCGUGCGGAAAACUGGGCUUCGGGUUGUAAACCACUUUCGCCUGUAACAAAGACUGCGUGACGGUAAUGGGUAAAAAAGCAACGGCUAACUACGUG